ACUUUCUAGCUGAACACUCAGCUUCAUCCACUCCAGGACAGCUGAGCGUCUGGAUGGUGUCUCACCCUGUUGCCCAGGCUGGAAUACAGUGGCACGAUCCUGGCUCACUGCAAUCUCCAUCUCCCGGGUUCAAGCGAUUCUCCUGCCUCAGCCUCUCAAGUAGCUGGGAUUACAGGGCUUCAGAAGCUGAUGGCAUAGUUAUGAGAGGGGUGAAGACUGCGACUGCAUUUCCAACAGACCCUGAGGACAAUUGGGAAGAAUGCGCUGAAUAUUUUUGAGCAAUUUCUAUAUGAUAAGCAGUUUUUAGGGCAAGUAUAGGUUGCACUGAUCCUGACCUUUUGGCCUGAGGAUGGAAGUCUUCAGUAUCUGUACAACUUUACUCCCAAGAGCUGGUGUAGAAUGAGUUCCUCUGGCCAUGGGAGGAUCGCAGAGGGGCACCUGCCACCAGCAGCCCAGCCUCAGCACUUUUCUCUUCAGCGUCUUCUUCAAGGUAUUUCCAGUUGCCCGCCCUGAACUGUUUCAGAAUGAGGAGGACACCUGGAGGAAUCUACACGUGCAUAGACCAAUUUGCAAAAGAACCUGUGAGCCAACAUUAUUACCUCAGCUGGAAGAAUUAAUAAGCAACACGUUCACCCAAGAAGUAUUUACUGAGCACCUACUAUGUGCAUUAUUUUCUGGUGUUGGGGCUAGGGGGCAAACGACUCUGACAAGUCUCUGUUCUCAAGGCUGGAGUGCAGCGGCGCGAUCUCGGCUCACUGCAAGCUCCGCCUCCCGGGUUCACGCCAUUCUCCUGCCUCAGCCUCCCGAGUAGCUGGGACUACAGGCGCCCGCAACCACGCCCGGCUAAUUUUUUGUAUUUUUAGUAGAGAUGGGGUUUCACCAUGUUAGUCAGGAUGGUCUCGAUUUCCUGACCUUGUGAUCCGCCCGCCCCCGCCUCCCAAAGUGCUGGGAUUACAGGCGUGAGCCACCGCGCCCGGCCGUAGUUUACAUUUUCUAAAGCGUACUCUGCCAGCCAAGUGGCAAACAGACUUGGGCCUCUUAAGAGUGGAAGCAGGAGGAAACCCGAAGAUCCUGGAGAGAGACUGGUGGCUGGUACCAGUGGAGAGGGAGCAAAAAGGAAAAUACAGGAUACAAUUUCAGGAAAAAUUUCAUACCAAUUUCCUGAGGUAAUUUCUGAACUCGAACAUUUUCAGUGUCACCACAUUGUGUUUCCUGCUGAAUCAAGUCUACAUCACUUCGGUUUUUAAAGCCUUCCACGAUCCUUCCCUGAACACUGUAGUUUUCACUGAUGGUUGGCUGUUUCAAACUCCCAUAUGAUCCAUACUGUAUCAUUAAUAAGCAAGCAAGGAAUAACACACCCUCUGCUAUUCUGUGCAGUGUUUCAGGUUUUUAGUUUUCUCUUUCAAGAUAGAAAAUCCCUUUAGAGUAGGAACUCGGCUGGCACUUUCUUUCACAUCCUGCAUAGCACUUAGCAAAGUUCUGUACACAGGGCACAUGUGGAAAUUGCUUAUUGAUUGAUUAAAAGCAUAUAUCACUGGCAUUUGUAUCUUCAGUAUUUCUCUUGUAUGAAGAAGGGUGAUUAUCUGUCAAUAUUCAUUGCAUCAUUGAACCAAUGUACAAUGCAUUAAUCAUCACUGAAGAUAACCAGAUGAGGCUUUAUUGUAAUCUCCUUCUAUUUUGCUGAGAUAAUUUCACUUGCUUUAGAGUUUAUGAGGCCAUAAGUGGCUCCCAUCUGUUGAUGAACAUAUUUCUAAGAGUCAUUUAGUCUCAAGUAUGGAAUACUUGAGGGGAAGUUAAAUUGUAACUUUUAUAUUAAGUGUCAUCUUAGUAACAGAACCAAAAUUGGAAGCAUGUGUUCAAUUUUGGUUUUUCAUUUUCAAAGCUUUAGGUCAGGCAAAGAAUUAAUUUCAUUUGUUUACAAAGUAGAUUAUGCCUAAUAAAAUCUAUUUUGUUUAUGGUCACAUUUUAAUCAAUCCACUGCUUUAGAAAAUGAGAGAAUUCUGAUUGGCUAAUCAUUCAACAUAGUAAAUUACAUUAUUCCACAUCCACAGAACACUGGCCUAAUUGCAUUAUCCAGUAAUGAUAAAAAUAUUCCUUUUAAUACAUUUUGAGCAAGGCAUAUACCAGUGAUGAAACAGGGAAGAAUCUUGUUUAUUCCAUCCUUGUUUGAUGAUCGACCACAGAAUAUAACAUAACACUUCUGUGUAUAAGAAUUUUUUCAACAUUAAGGAUAAUAAGGACAAGGUAGUUUUCACUGGAUCCUUACUGGUACUCUGAAUUUUCACUAUUUGUCCGCAUUUCUUCUCCUUCCCGGAAAUUUGUUUUCUGCGAAAAACAAGUGCUACUUUGUCAAAUAAAGCUUAAAUAAAAUUGGUUUCAAUUUAUGCAUAAUAAAAGGAAUGCCUAGUGACUUUCUAUCUCUAGUGGGAGGUAGAAAACUCUCCAGGGUGACUUUAUUCACUCCAGAGGUUCUGGUGAGCACCAAGGAACAUUACCUCUGCAAAAUGCAGACAUACGCAAAAGGAUGCAUCAAAUUUAAGAGAAGUCCGUAGAUAGAUAUCUGAGGGAUCUGCCUUAGGGGAUGUAGACCAUAUAUACAACACGAAUUCCACAGAAUUAGCCUGGUAUUCACGAUCACUGUUUCUUAAAACAUAACUCUUUUAUGUUACCAAGCAACUUUUAUCUGAGAUGAUGACUACUCGAAUACUUCUUUUGCAUAUCGCCAGAAAAUAUCAAGUUUUCAUUUGAGUCCUUAAUUCAAGUUCUUUAUCACAAGAAGAAAGAAUAGCAUGGAUAAAAUGGUUUAAAGGUAGCCAAAAAAAAAACAAAACAUUGUAUUUUAGAAUGCAUAUUCAAACAUAUUCCAAAAAAUACUGUAUUUUAGAAUGCAUAUUCAAACAUGAUGACAAGUGGGCUCUGUGGCUCAUAUUGACAAUAGCUUUAACCUAUGAAGUGAGUGUCUUUCUAUACGGAGGUGAUGAGUUACUCAAUACUGAACGGCUCUACUAAAUUGUGCUUUUGGCUAUUAGAACUUGGCUACUGCCUUUCGUUGCUAUGUGUUGAGAGAAAAAUCUCAAAUGAUGAUGCUAACCAUUUUGCUAAUAAAAUAUGCUAAGCUG
ensembl:lncRNA AQP4-AS1 AQP4 antisense RNA 1